rnacentral:rRNA from 1 species
AACGAACGCUGGCGGCAUGCCUAACACAUGCAAGUCGAACGAGACCUUCGGGUCUAGUGGCGCACGGGUGCGUAACGCGUGGGAACCUGCCCUUAGGUUCGGAAUAACUCCCCGAAAGGGGUGCUAAUACCGGAUAAUGUCUUCGGACCAAAGAUUUAUCGCCUUUGGAUGGGCCCGCGUUGGAUUAGCUAGUUGGUAGGGUAAAAGCCUACCAAGGCGACGAUCCAUAGCUGGUCUGAGAGGAUGAUCAGCCACACUGGGACUGAGACACGGCCCAGACUCCCAGGGGAGGCAGCAGGGGGGAAUAUUGGACAUGGGGCGAAAGCCUGAUCCAGCAGGGCCGGGUGAGUGAGGAAGGCCUUGGGGUUGUAAAGCUCUUUUCCCCGGGAGGAUAAUGACAGUACCGGGAGAAAAAGCCCCGGCUAACUCCGU